rnacentral:rRNA from 1 species
AACGAACGCUGGCGGCAUGCCUAACACAUGCAAGUCGAACGAGACCUUCGGGUUUAGUGGCGCACGGGUGCGUAACGGGUGGGAACCUGCCCUUAGGUUCGGAAUAACUCCCCGAAAGGGGUGGUAAUACCGGAUAAUGUCUUCGGACCAAAGAUUUAUCGCCCUUGGAUGGGCCCGCGUUGGAUUAGCUCGUUGGUAGGGUAAAAGCCUACCAAGGGGACGAUACAUAGCUGGUCUGAGAGGAGGACCAGCCACACUGGUACUGAGACACGGCCCAGAAUCUUACGGGAUGCAGGAGUGGCGAAUAUAGGACAAUGGGCGAAAGCCUGAUCCACCUAUGCCUGGUGAGUGAUGAAGGCCUUAGAGUAGCAAAGCUCUUUUACCCGCGAUGAUAAUGACAGUACCGGGAGAAUAAGCACCGGCUAACUCCGUG